rnacentral:rRNA from 1 species
UACAGAGACUGCAAGCGUUAUUCGGAUUCACUGGGCGUAAAGGGUGCGCAGGCGGCCAAGUGUGUGAGGCGUGAAAGCCCGGGGCUUAACCCCGGAAUUGCACCUCAAACUACUUGGCUAGAGCAUUGGAGAGGGUAGCAGAAUUCACGGUGUAGCAGUGAAAUGCGUAGAUAUCAUGAGGAAUACCAGAGGCGAAGGCGGCUACCUGGACAAUUGCUGACGCUCAGGCACGAAAGCGUGGGGAGCAAAAGGG